UGUAGACGGAGUUUUACCAGCCGGGAAGAUCAAAUCUGCCGUGGUUUUGGACCAUAAGUAGGUGCUGCUAGGGUCGGCACCGACCUGUUUUUAAGUUUAAAAGGUGGAGGGAUGAGGCUUGAUGUCUGAAGUCUGCUGCCUUUUUCUAGGACCUGAGGUAAGAACUCCAUGUAAAUCCACCCAGUAUUCUCUUGUUAUUGGGUGGGGUAUUUGAAUCGAAGACCAAUUAUGCUGUAGUUAAAUCCCAUUUACGAAGACAAUAAAACUACAUUUAUGGAUGAUUAGACUAAUCAAGCGGCUCAUUCGCCCCAUGUAACUAAUCUGUACGAUGUGAACUGAUGUCCACUUUGAAAAUAUCACAAACAGGCAUAUUUCUUGUGUAGUUUUGAAUAUGGGGGGGGGAGAGCUCUUCAGAAUCUUUGGUAGGAUGCUGCUUAACUCGGGUUAUGUUCCUGUACUAGUUGAAUGUUUACUGUAUAAUCAUUCUGUAAUUCUGAUCCGUGUUUUAAUAAAGUAUAAAUCAAA